rfam:Hordeum vulgare subsp. vulgare, WGS project CAJW01000000 data, contig: morex_contig_138415
UUAAUACUCCCCCGUCCGAAAAUUCUUGUCCUAAAAAUGAAUGUAUUGGAUGUAUCUAUAAUUAAAACAAGUCUAGAUUCAUUCAUUUCUAAGACAAGUAUUUUCGGACGGAGGAAGUAUAAG